UGGAAGCUGGCACAGGAGCUCUUCUACACUCCCUUCAAGCAGCUCAGGAGGUGCCGUGUAUUCACUGAAGUCCUCAGCGAGUAAGGAGACCUCACCAUUGGCUUCGGACAAGCCAAUCACCACGAUGUCCUCCACCACUGGUGCCUGCUCCAAAACCUUGCAAAUUGCAAAAAAAGGUAAAAAAAAAAAAAAAAAACUGAUUUAGUGAUAAUUUAUCUCUAAUGAUUUUGCUUUUUUUUAUUAGAAUACUUAUGUUUACACACAAUCUAUGAAGGGCAGUGCUAUAUUGUGAAUAUUGUCAUGGCUGAAGGUUAUUGUUAGGCACAAUGCAGCCUUGGGUGUGUUAUUGAUUUCAUGAAAUAGUUACCACAUGAUAAUUUAGGAGUAACAGAAUGUUUAUAUGCAACAAAACAAAUCAAACAUGACUGAAAAAUCUUGCCAAAGUCUUCCAUAUUUUUUUAAACGUACAGACAGGCAUGUUUGAUUAUGCUUCAGGUGCCCUGCUCUAAUGUGUAUGUUACAUACCUCCACAGUUGUGAAUUUAACUUGGUGGCCUUGGCGCUUGCUCGAAGGUGACAUAUGUUCACCUUAUCAUUAAUUCUGAGCUUGGACAAGGCCUGGUCCCGCCAUAAGGACACCUCAAGGAUCCUGGAGCCGCUUUUGAUCCCCACGUCCAAGAUGGGGACUUCUGUGUCCCUCACAGUCGUCAUCCUUGGAACCUGCAUCUAUAAAGUUAUGUUCCUUCCUGAGUUAAGUGGCCCCCUCUUGAGAAGAGGUCCUGCUCAUCCCCAGUCACUGAGACAGAUGGUGGAACCAGGGCGUCUUUGGCCAUCUUCUCUGCAUCAAAGCACACACUUGACCCUGAUGGGACUGGGGCAGCUAUACGGAGAGGAUGCCAUUCUGAUGAGGAAAACAUGAAAAAGGUUAGACUUUUUUUUCUUCUUUUUUUUUUUUUUAACUGAAGAAGAUUAGGAUUAUAGUGAAUAAGAAAAAUAAAUAUAUGUAUGAUUAAAGGGAGAGUUUUAAGCUGCAGUCUGCAAGUUUCGCCUCUUUGUCGCCAUCUCUGUUUGAAAACCUGCAACUGCAGCUUUUUACAGAAUUAUCUUCCUUGCUAGGGUUGUGUGCGGAUGAAUCUAAUGGCAGUCAGUCACUGCACCGGUGUGGAGAUUUACUGUACUUCGCAAUCACAGAUUCUACCAAUUUCAUAUCAAGAAAUAAACUUUUAACCCAAAAAGCUAAUUAUACUCCCUUCAAAAUGGUUAUCUUUAAUGGUUAUCCCAGGCUAUCUGUAAUCAGAAGCACAUUUAAAACUGGAAUAUAAUUUAAUUUCAGUCACAUGUGUUUCAUAAGCACACAAUACUUUCUGGAUUACUAUCCGCCAUCAAAAUGAUAAAUUUAAUUAUUCCAGCUGGUGUGAGAAAAGGCUUUAAAGAUCCGCCACCUGCAGGUUCCUCACGUGUGAUAGCCUAGUAGCCCAGACAACUUUAUGUUUACAGACGUGACGUAAUGACGCAGCGGCAUGCUCAAAUUUCCCACAAAAACCUACCUGUACCACUCAAAUCACAAAACAUUAUUAUAAACUAAAUGGGCUAAAGUAAGGCGAUAGUUUUAAAUCAGUGGUUCUCAACCUUUUUUUCCAACGGGCCGCACUAUGGUCCAAGUGCAAGUCUCACGGGCCGCACGCAUAUCAUUUACAUAUUACGUCACCAUACAAACCAACCUGAUUUAUAAUAUUAUAGCCUAAAUAUUAUGAUAUUUAAUCGAUUACAUUCAUUGAAAUAAAUUAAUAAUUCUACUCCCCAUAAAUAAAACACCUGAUGCUGUCGGGAGCUGACCAGUUUUGUGAAAUUCGGCUCGAAAGGAGUAACAGCAGAAUGAAGUUGCGAUUGUAAGUUGCAGUCUGUAAGACGCGCACGGGAGCAUAACUUGACGCGCGACAUUGCAGAAAAUGUGCGUUCACAAAUGUAGCCUAUGUUGAUCCAAAUAUGGAAAGCACUUUCGAAUUUAAUAAUAUGAGGUUCUCUCCAGAGAUGUUUUGCCACAUUUCUGCAAUUAAGGAUGAUUGCUGCGUAGUAUGGGUGUUUCUAUUUGCCUGAACUUCUUCAAGUGAGUUACGGCGCAAACCGAAAAUCCAGCACUCUCCUUCACUACUGAUACUGUGACUAUUCUUGUUUGUAUGUGUUCAUUUGCUGGCAUUUCCACAUUUCUUUUUACUCCCUUAAAAACAAAUUUGUCAAUUCUGAUGCUCAAUUUUACCGAACUAAUGGCUGUUGAUGACUAUUUGAAUUGAAUUCUGCCAAAGUGCGCGCUUGUAUGUGUUCAUAAAAUGCGGAACGUAGGUCUGCUCAUGUCUGAAAAUAAUAUAUGAAAAACAAAGGAAUUUUACAUAUAAACUAGGGCUGUCAAAUGAUUAAUCACGAUUAAUCACAUCCAAAAUAAAAGUUUUGUUUACAUAAUAUAUGUGUGUAUACUGUGUAUAUUUAUUAUGUAUAUAUAAAUACACACACAUGCAUGUAUAUAUUUAAGAAGAAUAUGUUAUGUUUAUAUAUUAAAUAUAUUUAUAUAUAAUAUAAAAUAUAAGAAUAUAAAUAUAUAAAUGUAUACACAUGUAAAUAUUUUCUAAAUAUAUAAUUUAUGUGUGUGUAUUUAUAUAUACAUAAUAAAUAUACCCUGUACACAUACAUAUAUUAUGUAAACAAAACUUUUAUUUUGGAUGUGAUUAAUCGUGAUUAAUCAUUUGACAGCCCUAAUAUAAACAUUAGGCUAUAGCUUACAGAUGGUAGACAACCAAAAUGGGUAAUAGGGCCGCGGCGUUAACUGCAAGUCAGUCGUGUGUUAAAUUCAUUCGCGAAACUACCGCCAGGUGGCGCAAAGGGACGGAUUGCCAACUGAAUGUAAUUGUAAAAUGAGAUAAAAGGAGGAGGUAAAACAACAAUAACAUUAUGAUAUAACAUUGUACCAUCUUUAAAAACCAUUAAAAAAUGUACAGUGAGUUAAUUUCAAAAUGUAGGAUAGUCUUAGGCUACAGUCUACUCAUCAAAAAUUAAAAGAAGACCUUUACACAAAGGAUCUUAUGCUUGCUAUUGUUAUUAAACAGUCAUUAAAUAUAAGGCCUAUAUAUACGGAUAAAAAGCUAAAUGUUUUCAUUUCGGUUCAUUCUUGGUUUAAAAAAAAAAUCCUUCAGGUUCCAUUUGCAGAUCGAAAUGAGAACGGUCCAGCAUUUAGCAAUAAUUAUUAUUAAUUCUGUUAUUAUUCUUGAUUUUUCAAAAUGCUAACACUGUGCAUUUUUGAAUUAUGCCUUUACUGUGUGACCAAAAAUUUUGUAUUUUCUGUUUCAGCUGUUUGAUCGCGCUGGUGCCUCACGCACAUUCAUUGGAAACAGUAGCCGUUCACCGAGCCCAUGCGGCGCGAGCAGCGGUCCACUUUGGCAUAUUUUUGUUAAUUAUGAUUUUUUUUUUUUUUUCGUCGAUACUGAAACAUGCGUGAACUACAAAGCCUAUUUUACCUCAUGAAUAAUAGUUAAGCUUGAAAUAGGCAACAUCACGAAUAUGGAAACGUUUGGAUUUCUCCCGAAUGAGAGCCCAACCUUACCUUAUGGUUCGCUUUAAAUUAUUAUUCAUUUAUUUUUGUUUGUUUGUUUAUAGCUAAGCCUAUAUUAUUAUAUACUGCAAUUUUAUUUAUCCAUUAGAAUUAUAUGUUUGUAAUUCUUGUUCUGUUCUGAUAAAUGUGUUAAAUUUAAAGGAUUUGUUGUAAAGUGAAGGGAACUAAAAAUAUCCUGUUGGCACAUUAUAAUAUUAUUAGGCCAGCCGUUAUUAUUUCUGAAUGUAAUAAAAUGCAACUUAUACAUGACUUAUAUUUUUUCCUCUCACAAACUUAAUUUAUUUUUUAGCCUGUUUUAAAAAAUAAAUAAAUAAAAUAAAAUAACAUGCAGCAAACGAAAAUAGGUGAUUAAUCGGUUAAAAUUUGUUACUGUGGGGUAAUUAUAAUUAUUAUAUACUUAGGAACAGAGUCUGGGCCUAAUCUAGGCUAUCCAGGGUUUUUUAUUUUAUUUUUUUUUUUCAUUGCAUCUGAAAAUGACUUUGUGCAGCACAUUCACUUCGCACGCUCAACCUGCCUCGCGCGUUGCUCAGCUGUGGACGAUUUAAAAAUGUUUGAUAUAAAGGUUGCCGUCCCAUUUUAUACAGGAAUUGUUCAUUUAAAAAAAAGAAUCGAAUUAUAUUGUUAGUCUAAAUUAUAUUGUUAACACAAGUUCAUUUAGGCUAUUUAACAUGCACUGUGACAUUUUACCCUUUUUAACUUAUAAACUCCUUAAGAUUUUAAAGUCAGUUUAAUAGUAUUGAAGUUCAAGUUUUUAAAAAAAGGUUUUAAAUGCUUAAAUUAUUUCUAUGAAUUAAUAAUAUGUUAUCAUGUUUAUUCUUGUAGAAAAUAAGUGUUUAUUCUUUAAGAAAAUAAGGGAAAAAAUAAGGGAAUUAUUCAUAUUUGUUUUGCUUCACCUAUUU
ensembl:lncRNA